UACGUAGGGUGCAAGCGUUGCCCGGAUUUAUUGGGCGUAAAGGGCGCGUAGGCGGCUCGGCACGUCCGUUGUGAAAUCGCCCGGCUCAACUGGGCGGGGUCAGCGGAUACGGUCGAGCUUGAGCAAGCUAGGGGGCAAUGGAAUUCCCGGUGUAGUGGUGGAAUGCGUAGAUAUCGGGAGGAACACCAGUGGCGAAGGCGGUUGCCCGGGGCUUUGCUGACGCUGAUGCGCGAAAGCGUGGGGAGCGAACAGG
rnacentral:rRNA from 1 species